CAGUCGCCGCGGGAAUACGUAGGUGGCAAGCGUUGUCCGGAAUUAUUGGGCGUAAAGGGCUCGCAGGCGGUUUCUUAAGUCUGAUGUGAAAGCCCCCGGCUUAACCGGGGAGGGUCAUUGGAAACUGGGAGACUUAGAGUGCAGAAGAGGAGAGUGGAAUUCCAUGUGUAGCGAUGAAAUGCGUAGAUAUAUGGAGGAACACCAGUGGCGAAGGCGACUCUCUGGUCCGUAACUGACGCUGAGGCGCGAAAGCGUGGGGAGCAAACAGGAUUAGAGACCCCUGUAGUCCCUGUCUCUUAUA
rnacentral:rRNA from 1 species